rnacentral:misc_RNA from 1 species
GAGGGGGAUUUGUUGUAUGUCAAUAUGAAUCAAAAUAUUUUAAUUUGUUUUCCACCCCUGUUAUAGAUGCUACAAGAUACAGUUUAUUAACUAAGAUAUUAUUUGAAUUUAUAUGUACAAUAUUGUGUAAAUGUAACCUUUAUUAUGUGAUGAGGUUUUUUUUUUAUAUUUUAAAGAAACUGGAAGAGUGAAAAUGUUAUGUAGUUUAGAUACAUACAAUCAACAUAUUAAAUGCAUGUUUUAAAAAUUU